rnacentral:misc_RNA from 1 species
UUAUUAGAUUGAUGUAAUGACAAACCCAUGAAUGAGAAUGGCAUACAUGUAAUUCCAAAUCCUUGGCGCUAACCGCGCCGAGUUGUUGUUCGGCCUCCCUAAGUCAACCGAUGAAUGCACCGUCAACAAACCCGAUUGCUCAAAAAGGCUUGAGACAAGAACAUCCUGCAGUGCAAAGGGAUGGGGUUGGUUGAACACCGCCCCCGAUAAUUGGGCAUCACAAGUUCGCAUGGUCAAUCUGAUUGAUAGGCAUCGA